rnacentral:lncRNA from 1 species
GGGAGGGGAGGGGGACUGGCUGCCUCCGCUGAGGCCAAGGACCCAAGGCCCCCUCGCAAUCGUCCCCCUUGCAGGAGUGAAGACAGAACGGGACUUCUGCCUUCUUCUCCCCAAUGUCAGAGCCCUAUCCCUCUCCAGAUGCAAAUACCAACCACAACCACCCCAUCACUUUCUCAUUAAGAGGAGGAGAAGAAAAAAGAGACUUGGGGCAGAGCAGAUGACUCAAGGUGGAGCUACCCUCCUUGAGCACCCUCAGCCUGAAACCUAGGGAGGAUGCCCUGGACACCCCUGCU